AGCAGCCUUGGCGCCUCUGCCACAUUCUUUCUUUUCUGGAUCCAUUUAUUGUGCCUAGGGAAACGAGUGGCAAUUUUACAGCCAGACCCUCUACUACGUCAUCCACAAGUUUUGUUGCCACCGGUGCAUCAAGACCCUCAACGUCACCUACAAAUGCGACCAUCACCUCCACCGGUGGAGUGAGACCCUCUACAACAUCAUCCACGAGUAUGACCACUACCGGUGCAGCCAUGGAAGAUGAUGAAAUGGAGGAAGCACCUCUGGAUCCAGGACCACCUGAGAUUAUUAUGAACCUCACGGAAGUGACCACCUCGUUGAACAGGAUGUGGCCGUGGAGAGAAACCGAGAGAGAAACUAAGAGGAACGUCACACCAGGCGUCAUCGGAGGUACCAGCCCCCAGAUCCACUCAACUCAUUUCAGCAGAGGCUCCUCCAAGCCGUCGAGAGGGAUGCAGCCCAACCUGAUGCCCACAGGAAGGAGGAUGAAGAGACCCUCUUUGCCAUGAGCCUGGUGCCAACACUGAAGAGGCUGCCUCAGCAAAGAAAAGCAGCAGUCAAGGUUAAAAUGUAUCAACUGCUUUUCGAAGCCGAGUUCAAUGAAAUGGAGUCAAUUUAGCUGACCAGCUCACAGGAAGGACAGGAAGAGGAGAGGAGUUGUCUGGUUGUUGUUUUGACCUCCCUCAUUGUACCUUUCUUUUCACACACGUCAGUUCCGUUUAAAUUCAGUCAAUUCAUAAAGUAAUUUGUUUAUCAAGUCUUAGGAGAGCAUUCAUUAUGUAUACAUAGAUUUCUGAAUUGAAACUCAUACGGAGUUUUCACAGAUGCUCUUGGUCUCUUACGAGACUAAAGGUCAAUAUAUUUCUUUAAUUUAAAGCCACUUGAAAACCAGGGUGUUGAAACUUCACAAAAAGUUAUGUUCCAUCGACUGGUCCGUGACGUCCAGGGGCCAUUUGUUUGUUUAGCUGUGUUAUGGCUACAUAUUAUUCCCUUUUUCUCAGAGACACACACCUCUUCGUACCUCAGAUCUCCAGUGCCAUGCCCUCUCUCUUUAUGGCCAUGUCUGAAGUUCCUCUACUACGUCUAGGCUUUAUGAGUAGUCCCUGUAUCGGUCUGCAGUUGUGCCAAAAAUACAUGCUCUUGCUGUUCUCUUACAGAUUACAGGCUACACAUUCAUAAAAAAUAAAUAAUAAUUUACACGCACGCACAAUAGUUUUAUUUUAAAAAACAUUUUUACAACACACAUACCUGUCAUGUUCUUUCCUGUACUUGAAUAGUUAUUACAUUAUAAUGUUUUCAUAGUCAGUUGUUUCAGUUGAUUAUUAAUGUCUAAUUUAGACUUCAUCUGCUUAUUUCUUCCCUACACCUUUGCUGAUCUAAGACAAGAUGAAAGUAAAAACAUCCAGCGUAGGGCUUCAUGAGGUUGGGUCUUAUCGCCAACGAAGACGUGGGGAACAGGUCCCAGGUCUUCAGCCCCAGGGAGUGAUGCAGGUGGUGGAAUAUCCAGGGUGCCAUCCUGAAGUGCCUGGCCAAAGGCAGUCUCGGAGGGUCACGCCAUCACUUCCCUUGCCGUAAGCACCAACAUCGACAACAUGGAAACAGUAGAUGGCAUCUACUACAGCCAAGAGUACAACUGAAUAUGUACCCUUGUAGUUGUAGAACCGCGAACCUGAGCACGGUGGAGCCUGGAUUACUACAUGUUUCCCGUCAAUGGAGCCAAGACAAUUGGGGAAAUUCCACCUCUCCAGGAACUCAGCAGCGAUGGCCCUCCAGUCUUCCUCCUUGGGGACAGGCAUGUUUUCACCAACCAGACUGUCAGGAUUUGGCCAGGGUUGUUCUGGUUUUUGGUCACUAGAUGCCCCCAUUGUGCCUUUUGACCUUUUGUUUUCCCUUGAUCCCCAUUAUUAUUUGCACCUGUGCCUCGUUUUCCCUGAUUGUAUUUAAACCCUUUGUUUUCCUCA